rnacentral:rRNA from 1 species
GACAGAGGGGGCAAGCGUUGCUCGGAAUCACUGGGCGUAAAGGGCGCGUAGGCGGGAUGGCAAGUCGGUCGGUGAAAUCCUUCGGCUCAACCGAAGAACGUCGGCCGAUACUGCCGUUCUUGAGGGAUGCAGAGGAGAUUGGAAUUCCCGGUGUAGCGGUGAAAUGUGUAGAGAUCGGGAGGAACACCGGUGGCGAAGGCGGGUCUCUGGGCGAUCUCCUGACGCUGAGGCGCGGAAAGCGUGGGGAGCAAACGGG